rnacentral:rRNA from 1 species
UGGGGAAUAUUGGACAAUGGGCGAAAGCCUGAUCCAGCCAUGCCGCGUGGGUGAAGAAGGUCUUCGGAUUGUAAAGCACUUUAAGUUGGGAGGAAGGGCAGUAAGCGAAUACCUUGCUGUUUUGACGUUACCGACAGAAUAAGCACCGGCUAACUCUGUGCCAGCAGCCGCGGUAAUACAGAGGGUGCAAGCGUUAAUCGGAAUUACUGGGCGUAAAGCGCGCGUAGGUGGUUCGUUAAGUUGAAUGUGAAAGCCCCGGGCUCAACCUGGGAACUGCAUCCAAAACUGGCGAGCUAGAGUAGGGCAGAGGGUGGUGGAAUUUCCUGUGUAGCGGUGAAAUGCGUAGGUAUAGGAAGGAACACCAGUGGCGAAGGCGACCACCUGGGCUCAUACUGACACUGAGGUGCGAAAGCGUGGGGAGCAAACAGG